rnacentral:miRNA from 1 species
UGCCCCAAGAAGCCUGGACUUGUG